rnacentral:rRNA from 1 species
AUACGGAGGGGGUUAGCGUUGUUCGGAAUUACUGGGCGUAAAGCGCGCGUAGGCGGACAUUUAAGUCAGGGGUGAAAUCCCGGGGCUCAACCCCGGAACUGCCCUUGAUACUGGGUGUCUUGAGUUCGAGAGAGGUGAGUGGAAUUCCGAGUGUAGAGGUGAAAUUCGUAGAUAUUCGGAGGAACACCAGUGGCGAAGGCGGCUCACUGGCUCGAUACUGACGCUGAGGUGCGAAAGUGUGGGGAGCAAACAGGAUUAGAUACCCUGGUAGUCCACACCGUAAACGAUGAAUGCCAGUCGUCGGGCAGUAUACUGUUCGGUGACACACCUAACGGAUUAAGCAUUCCGCCUGGGGAGUACGGUCGCAAGAUUAAA